rnacentral:ribozyme from 1 species
AAAAAAAAAGGGGGUGAGAGUGGGAAAGAGAAGACAAAGUUCUGUUUGUUUGAUGGCGUCGCCUUUCCUUUCUUCUUUCUUUUUUGUCUUUUUUGUUUCCUUCUUCACUUUUU